GCGCAGGCGCAGAGAGGCGCGCUGCGCCGGCUGUCUUGCUCGCAGUAUAGUGGCGGCAGGCCGCCUGCUUGCAGCUCGGGAAAUUGCAGGGCCCUGUUGCUCGCAGUGUAGGGGUAGCACGUCCGACUGCUGGCAGCUGGGGACACUGCCUGGCCCUCUUGCUCCAAAUGUAUUGGCGGGUGGCUCCCCUGCUGGCAGCUACGGACAGUGCUGGGUCGUCUUGCUUGCAGUGUAGUCGCGGCACGCCCCCUUCUGGCCGCUGGGGUCACUACAGGAUCCUCUUGCUCAUGAUGUGGUGCCCCUACGCCACCUCCUGGCAGCUAAGGACACUGCAGGGCCCUCUUGCUCCCGGUGUGACGGCUGGCGUCCCCUACUGGCCACCUCCCGAACAAACUCGGGGCGCCAGUUAUUAAGCCCCAUCAGUUCUGUAAAUUCAAACUGAAACGGAGCUAUUACUGGGGAGACCUGAUGUCCCAAUUCUUAACUUGGAGGAAAGAUUUUCACUUUCCUCCAAGAAACACUCUCUAAGAACACAGCACUCAGAAAAGCCAGCCUGAUACCUAGAUUACACGGUUCACAGCCUUACAGGUUAGUAAGGAAGGUCAUUUCCUCGUAGACCCAGGAAUUUAGGGAUAUUUUGGGGACUUCAAGAAGACAGGAAUUCACACAAAGCUAUAAGGACUGCAGCUGAAAUCUGAGAUUCUGUAUGAAAACUUCCAGCAAAGAAACCUGAAAGCACCUACCUGGUCAUCUCCUGUUCUUGCUGCACUUACAUAAAUAAUCAGGCAAAAUCUAACAAAACUAGACUUAUUUUUAAAACAAGAAUAGUCUUACUUUGAUUAUGAUAAAAAAUGAUGGUUACUUGUUACUUUCUGUGCUGGGUGAGCAUCUUUAGUUUUUGUUCUAUAAACCUACUAAAGACAAUGAAGCAUUUCCAAACAAUGUGCUACAAAUACAGGUAAAGUAAACUUAAUAUGUGAUUAGCCUUAAUUAUGAAACCACAGAGUGUCUCCUAGUGUGAGUUCUGCUGGGACACAGAAACCCACCCAUUCCUGAGCCUUGGAGCAAAGUUACCUCCUGUUUUGCCUGUUUUGUAUAAAGCCUAGAAAUACAGACAAACUUAAAAACAUUUGUCUUUUUGAGAUUUAGGUAAAAAAAUUAGUAAAUUUAUUGCCCAGUAUGCAGUCAUAUACCAUAUAACAAUGUUUCAAUCCAUGUCAUACCACAUAUAUGAUGGUGGUCCCACAAGAUUGUAAUGCUGUAUUUUUACUUUACCUUUGAAAUGUUUAGAUAAGUUCAGAUCCAUAAAUAGUUACCAUAAUGUUACAGUUGCCUACAGUAUUCAGUACUGUCAUGUGCUGCACAGGUGUGCCACCAGAGAGUGACAGGCUCUACCGUAUAGCCUAGUGUGCAGUAGGCUGUGCCAUCUAGGUGUGUGUAAGUGCGCUCCAUUGUGUUCACACAACUAUGAAAUCACCUCCGACACAUUUCUCAGAAUGUAUACCUGUCGUUAAGUGACAGGACUGCAGUUGUAAAAGAUGCAGGUCUGAGGAUUCAGGGUCUCUCCUUGCAACUCACAAGGCUGGCUCUAGAAGGCACUCAUAGCACACAGGAGAGAAGUAACCCGUGCACAUAGAGAGAAAUCCUGGAGAUAAUGCUUGGGCUGUCUCCAGUGAUGUUAAGAGCAAAAUUACAGCUGCCAUUUACCAAGUGCUUCCCAGGCACUGUGCUGACUGCUGAAACAUACUUUUUGUUUUUGUUUGUUUGUUUGAUGUCAUCAGCAGUAUAGCUUCCUUGGAAGCUUUCAUUAAUGUUCUCAUUUUGCAGUAAGAAGAAACUAAGUCUUAGCGAUAACCAAGUGGCAGACGUGGCAGAAGAAAAAUUUGAAACCAGGGCCACAUUGAGCCUGCAGGCAUGUCUGGCCUGUUCUGAGGACAGACAUUUCAAGCACAGAGAGGCACAGGAGCACUGUUUGAGCCUGGAGCUUAAAUCGCGAAUCCAGAGAGCCCUCUCUGAGCAUGCGUUGUGCCCAGAGUUGGUUUCAUGUGGAUCAACUCAGGCUUCUAUGGCAGGGCCACAGACAGGGUCCACAGAAGUGGUUUCUGCCAAUCUUUGAAGAGUCCUGAUCUUAUAUAAUCAAAGAAGCUUCAAGUCUGGAAGAGAGAGGCAAAAGGUGAGAGUCAGGAGAAUCUGAAGAUGCUACACUGCUGGCUUUGAAGAUGAGGAUGGGUCAUGAGCCUAAUAAAAAAGGUAGGCUCCAGGAGCCAAAAAAGGGAAGUAAAAAGAUUAUCUGAGUUUCCAAAAGAAACACAGCAUCUCUGACACAUUGAUUUCAGCCCAUUUCUGACUGCUGACUUUCAGAACUGUAUGAUAAUAGAUUUUUGUUUUUUUAAACCUUAAAGCUUGUGUUCAUCUGGUAUGGUAGCAGCAAGGAAUAUGGUUUGAAAGAUGCCCCUGGAUGGAAAACUAGUAUAAAUGUAGAGACCAUCUGUGUGUCUCACUUUUUUUUUUAGGAUCUCAGUCCUGUUCUAUCUGUUUUUCAAUGCCUGAAAACAUUUUCUUCAUGUAUAUAUUUUUGAAUUUAUACUUGUUUGCAAUGGUAAUGUCAAAGAGAAAUUGCACUAGACAGAGUUAAACAGGCAAGUAAUACUUUAUUCAAGACUAUUGCAACAGGGGAGAGAGACUGAACUCAAUGCCACCAAAACAAAAGGCAAGAAGAAUUUUAAAUGCUACAGUAGGGUAAUGGUAAAGUAUUGGAGAUCGUUAAUGAGGAGGCUGGUCAGUGUGAUUAGGCUAUCAGCGUUUGCAGUCACAUAUUGAAGUCAGGCUUCUAUCCUACAACAGAAAUUGGGACAUAGGUGUGCAAUUUUUUUUGGUGGUUAAAUUUCAAAGAGGUGGCUUUUGUGUCCUUAAGAAAGAUAUUUCCGGGUUGUAGAACUGUCAAGAGGCUGGAAGAUUUAUCAUAUUUCAAAGAGGCAAUGAACAAACUUGCAAUUAGAAGUUUUCUAAAAUAAACACCCAGUGAAAAUGAAGGUCAGGGUCCCAUAUUCAGAAAUACACCUAUCUAAAUUCAGUCCAUCUGAGGAAAUCAUUAAGUCCAUUUCAUUCAGUAGAGUAUUUCUGGCAACUAUUUCUCUGUCAUGAUCAGAAAGAAAUUGAUAGAGUUGACCUUUGAACAACAUGGAUUUGAACUGCAUGGGACCACUUACAUGUGAGAUUUUCUCCACCUUUGCUACUCUUAGACAGCAAGACCAACCCCUUCUCUUCCUUCUCCUCCUCAGCUUACUCAAUAUGAAGACGAUGGGGAUAAAGACCUUUAUGAUGAUUCAGUUUCACUUAAUGGACAGUGUUCCACAGUGAGCAGGUACAUGCAAAUCUGCCCUCAAAGGCCAAGGGAGCUGAGCUGUUGAAGACAGAGGCUGACAAAGCUAGUUUCUCAGAAGGAAAUAUGUAAUAGAAACUACAGACAGAAGGGAUAUCUUGAGGGCUGUGAGACAGUGGAUUCCCAAAACCACCCUCCAGAAGGUACUCCUUAUAGAACAAGAUUUUAAGGUAAAGACUUGUGCAGCUGGUCACAUCUGACUUUCUUCUUGCUAAGAGUGAUGACCACCAUGGAGGUUAGAUAGGUAUCUUUAUGAGGGGUUAUCUAUCUCACAGGAAUUGUUUAAAGAUCUUGCUGCAGAACACAAGCCUACUAUGCAAGAAUCAAACAUAGGUCUUCAUGGCAGUUUUGCUUCAAGAUGGCCUCACUCUUGCCAUGCAACAAGCUGUUUUAAGUAAAUGCUUUUUCUCUUUCUUAUAAUUUUCUUAAUAAUAUUUUCUUUUUUCUAGCUUACAUUAUUAUAAGAAUACAGCAUGUAGUGCACAUAGUACACCAAAUGUGUUAAUUGACUGCUUAUGGUACUCAUAAGGCUUUCUGUCAACAGAAAGCUAUUAGUAGCUAAGGUUUUGGGAAGUCAAAUGUUGUAUUCAGAUUCUUGACAGAGCAGGGGUCAAUGCCUCUAUUCUUCAUGUUGUUCAGGGUCAUCUAGUUGUUUCUUUCUUUGGUAUUUUUAUACGGGUAAUACAUAUACAUUAAGAAAAUAUGUACUUGUAAAUAAGACAGUAAGCUGACUAUAUUUACAUUUUAUUACAGAAAGUCUGUUCCAAAAUUAAGAUAAAACAUGAGUAUUAGGUGCAAUAUACAAUAAACAUGAAGUCAAAAUGGAAACUUCAGGUCAGAGAAACAGUGGGAGUGAGAGUGAAUGUAACUGUCUUCAACUGGACAUUUGUUUUCCUUCUAAUGGCUGAGUGUCAUCAGAUUGAGAGUGAACUGUCUACUUGCCCUGAGAUGGGCUGAGCUAGGCUGCCUGCCAUAGACUUCUAAUGGGAGAGGGAGAGAGGGAUGACAGAAUAGAAAUAAAUAACUCUCUUCCACCAUGGCUGAGGAAUUCUUUCAUGAUGAAUAUCCAAUAUUAAUUUUUUUCCUUCUCCCUCUGUUACGUGCCCUAACUAUUGGGAAUUUAUGACAUCUUCCUCUUUGUCAUUGCCAUCCAUUGAGGUCCUGGGUCCUCUUCCCCAUUCCUCACCCUAAAGACUUCUGUAUCUGCUUACAGUCACUCCCCUCACCACCUUUAGUCAGUAACCCAUCAGCACCCUGACCUCCCAGGGCUUCCAGCAAUCCAUCUCCAGGGAUAGUCCCAUUCCUCAAAUGAAUUCAAGUGGCCAAUUUCUACUACAGCUUCAUCCUUCAAGUCCAUAAUUAUUCAAUCUAAUGAAGACUUGAAUUUUCCAACUUUCUAUCUAUAUCUAUAUACACUCCCUGAGAUUUACUUCAUUGUUUAUUUAAAUUUAUUUUAAAUCCAUUUUUACUUUGUAUUUCCUUAUGAGUAAACUCAAUUGUCUUGGGCAAUGUCAUUUUAUUGUAGUUAUUUCACUAAGCUCUUCCUGGAAAAACAGGACCAAGUCUUUUUUAUAUAUACACUACCAUAACUAAAAAUUGCUUGAGAAAAAUAAACCUCACAAUGUGGCAGACCCAUAUGACUAUAAAUUUAUGAUUAUCUACCUCAACAUUUCUUGGCCAUCCUACUAUGUUUUACCAAUAGCCUGGUUUUAAUACUUCCCUUGAUUAGCAUUGUUACAUUUUCUACAUUACCCAGAAUUGACACCCCCACCACAUACACAUAACCUUUCCACUCUCUGAACAAUUAAUCACCAGGGAUCGGGGAUAAGAAUUGAAAUUUCCAGAAAUUCUCAGGAUAUCCGGAAACUUUAAAUGAAUCUUUACUUUUUAUAACAUUUAUAUGCAUAGUUUUAAAUAACAACAAGUGAUAAUACAUGGUGAAUCAUUUAUAUGUGGUAGAAUUAUACUAUAAGCUUAAGAACUUUUCUGAAAAUGAUGAUACGAUAAUAAAUGUAUAACAUUAUUAUAAUGCAAUAGUAUAUCAUGAUAAAGUAAUAUGAAUAACAAAUAGAAUGAUUUCUACUAGGUAUAGACAUUCAAUCAGAGAAAAUAUUAAAGCAGAGGGAAUAUGAGUAGAAAAUAAAUGUCAAAUAAAAAGCAUUAAAACUGUAAAAGAUGACAGCACAAAUAUUUAAUAUAACAAUAAUAUGUUAUAUAUAAUAAAAGUUAUUAUUCUGAA
rnacentral:lncRNA from 10 species